rnacentral:lncRNA from 1 species
ACAGGCGGGCGAGGCACGCGCAGGGCAGCCGCCGCUCCUGUGCCAGGGGACGGACAGAUCCUUGCAGCCGAGCGCUCUGGCAGCUACGGUACAAAGCGCCAGGCUACGAAUAUCCCCCUGACUGGCGCGUUUCUGGGGGAGCCGGGAGGGGGAGCGGACACUAGGCCGAGCUUUGCCCUCGCUCACCCGGGAGGAUGUGAUCGGGCCUCGGACGCGGCUGCUGCCCCGGGAAUAGUGAUUUCACUCACCCUUCGGUUUUGCGGCGCGCACCCCGGGCCAAGCCAGACACCGGCCGGGACAAAGCUACCAGCUCCACGCCAGGGGCUCCGAGUCCCUCCCCACCGAGCCGGCGCGGCGGGCAGAGCGGGGUCCGGGGCGGCCAGAGCAGGCUGCUACCGCCGGUCCGCGGCGCGUCGCGCCAGCCUGGGCUCAGCUCGGCACCGCUGGAGCCGAGAGCCCCAAGCGACACGGGCCUGACUGCGAGACGGCGCCCGGCGGAGCUUCCUCCUCUUGCCCCCAGAGAUCAGCGUGUCCGCAGGGCACAGCCCGCGCCCCCCGCCUGGGCCGCCGAGCCCCCAGCAGCCCGGCAAGAGGCGCUGCUCCCCGCCUGCCCCACGCUCAGGGCUCCGCACAGCGCCCGCCGCCGGGAUCGGCCCCGCGGUGCCCGGGGCAGCUCGCCAAGGGAGACCAUCGCAGUGGAGCGCCGGAGCUCCCCGGCCAGCCCCUACACGCGGCGCUGCGGCGGCCACCAGCCCGGCUCCCGCGGGCUUUGGCUUGCAGCGAGCCCGGAGCAGCCGCCGUGCGGGCGAGUCCGCAUCUCCCUGCCCGCCGCGCUGCUGAGCCCGGUGGAAGUGACUGCACAAGAUUCCAGGCAAGAAGUCGGGGCUUAUGUAGCUUUUUCUAUAUUUUGAUGUGGCACUGAAGGAUUGUUAGUAUACCUUGAAUUUGGACAGACUGCAAAAGAUUAUUUGGAUUCCACCACCACCACCCCACCUCUUCUUACAAGAUGUAAAUGUUUCUUUCAGGAUUUUCUAUGAUAUGCCAAUAUAGAACCAGAGAUUUGAGAUCCUCUGAAAAGUAAAGCAUUGGGUCCUCUUUUCAUUACUGUAAAACUGAACUACUUUGUCUACCUGAGGAAUAGUUCCAAAUUAAUUCUGGGUGCUAUUUUUUUCUAAAGCAGCAAAGAAGAAAAUGAUAAAACCAGCAUCCAAAGAAAGGUACAGUAUACACAGGGUAUGUCUACACUGCAGUUAAACACCCCUUGCUGGCCUGUCAACUGACUCAGGCUUCUGCUGUGGGGUUAUAAACUUGCAGUGUAGACAGCCUGAAUGCAAGCUCUAGGCCUUUCCUCUCACAACCUCUUCUCCUCACACAAAUCCACACUCCUGUAUUUUUGUCUGGCUCACCUUAAUUGUGGCUUGAUCUUUCAUUUCUUGUACCCAACAUUCACAUUGAUUUUAAUGGGAGUUUUUCAUGUACAAAAUGCUUCGUUCUGAUGUUCACGCUUCCAGUGCACUUUUCUUCUCCAGCUUGAAACAUUAGAAAUAUGAUCCCUUUUUGUGAUGGAUCCAGCAUUUUGUACAUGAAAAACUCCCAUUAAAAUCACUGUGAGUUUUGGGUACAAGAAAUGAAAGAUCAAGCCACAAUUAAGGUGAGUCAGAGAUGACAGAUAAAUGAAGCAUUUAUUUUUAUGGGAAAUUGUCAAAAAGCGGGUUUGAUCACUUGUGCUCACAGAACUGUUUUUUUCCUCAUUUGUUUUCAGUAUGUACAGUAUCAAACAACAUGAAAUGUGGUAUGGCAAAACAAUGCAAGAAUUAUAUACAGUAACUCCUCACUUAAAGUCAUCCCGGUUAACGUUUCGUUGUUACGUUGCUGAUCAGUUAGGGAACAUGCUUGUUUAAAGUUGUGCAA